rnacentral:rRNA from 1 species
CACCCCACUAUAUUGUUCGCCAGAGUACUACAAGCGCUAGCUUAAAACCCAAAGGACUUGGCGGUAUCCCAUACCCACCUAGAGGAGCCUGUUCUAUAACCGAUAAUCCCCGUUCAACCUCACCACUUCUUGCCAUUACCGUCUAUAUACCGCCGUCGUCAGCCCACCCUGUGAAGGACUAAAAGUAAGCAAAAAGAAUAAAACUCCAAAACGUCAGGUCGAGGUGUAGCAAAUGAAGUGGGAAGAAAUGGGCUACAUUUUUUUCCAAAAAUAUACGAAUGGUAAACUGAAAACACACCUAAAGGUGGAUUUAGCAGUAAGAGGAGAUCAGAAUACUCCCCUGAAAUCGGCUCUGGGAUAAGCACACACCGCCCGUCACUCUCCUCAAAAAUAACUUACCCUUUUCCAUAAAUACAUUUCUUCAACAAGAGGAGGCAAGUCGUAACAUGGUAAGUGUACUGGAAAGUGCACUUGGAAUC